rnacentral:rRNA from 1 species
GAUGAACGCUGGCGGCGUGCUUAACACAUGCCAGUCGAACGGUGAAGCUCAUCUUGCGGGGUGGAUUACGAACGAAUGAGUGACUAACACGCAAGUAACCCCCCGCUAAGGGAUGACUAAAACUGGUAGGGUCUAUCUAAGACUGUUCAGCGCUGCCCGCAUGAGGGGGGGUGGUGAGGGGUUCUGGCGGGUGUGGAUGGCCUCGCGGUCUAGCAGCUUGUUGGUGGGGUAGUGGCUCACCAAGGCGACGACGGGUAGCCGGCCUGAGAGGGUGACCGGCCACACUGGGACUGAGACACGGCCCAGACUCCUACGGGAGGCAGCAGUGGGGAAUAUUGCGCAAUGGGCGGAAGCCUGACGCAGCGACGCCGCGUGGGGGAUGACGGCCUUCGGGUUGUAAACCUCUUUCAGCAGGGACGAAGCGCAAGUGACGGUACCUGCAGAAGAAGCACCGGCUAACUACGUG